GAUGAACGCUGGCGGCAUGCCUAAGACAUGCAAGUCGAACGAGACGACCUUUGGAAGACUGAGUACUUGUACAAAGUUAGAAGAAGAUCAUCGUCUAGUGGCAGACGGGUGAGUAACACGUGGGUAACCUACCUUCAAGCUGGGGAUAACGUUUGGAAACGAACGCUAAUACCGAAUAAGAUAUAUAGCAAUAUAUAUUGAAAGAAGCCUCUAAAGCUUCACUUAAAGAUGGGCCUGCGGCGUAUUAACUAGUUGGUGAGGUAAUGGCUCACCAAGGUAACGAUGCGUAGCCGAACUGAGAGGUUGAACGGCACAUUGGGACUGAGACACGGCCCAGACUCCUACGGGAGGCAGCAGUGGGGAAUAUUGCACAAUGGGGGAAACCCUGAUGCAGCGACGCCGCGUGAGCGAUGAAGGUUUUCGGAUCGUAAAGCUCUGUCUUCAGGGACGAUAAUGACGGUACCUGAGGAGGAAGCCAC
rnacentral:rRNA from 1 species